rnacentral:lncRNA from 1 species
GAGUGAUCAUCUUGGAAGUGGAUCCUCUUGUCCCAGUUGAGUUGGUCCAGCUGAUGCCUUGUGAAGCAGAGAGAAGCUGUCCUCACUGAGCCCUGCCUGAAGUACAGACCCCCAGCGCAUGUUGCACAUUCCAGUUGUGACUGCCUCUGGUUGUGCUGCGUGGGACACGCAACCUCAGCAUGGCCUGAUGAGUGGUGCCAUGUCCGUGCCCAGGAUCCAAACCGGCGAAGCCCCAGGCCGCCGAAGCGGAGUGCACAAACUUAACCACUCGGCCACAGGGCCAGCCCUGUAUCAAUUUUUUAACACGGUAAAAGCUUUCAAAUCAGAGAGAGGGAGGUGGGAAGGGUGAGACUGAUUGUGUGUGUGUGCACAUCGAGGGUAUGUGUGUGAAUUAUUCAAUACACACGUUCGAGAAAACUGUCAAACUAUUUGGGAAAAUAUAGGACAACAGAUGGAUUAACAUUUUCAAUUCAUGCAACAAAUAUUUAUUGAAUACCUAACUGUAUGCCAGAGGGCAGAGGUAAGGCUAUAUAAAACAGACAUGAUUCCUCUCUUAUGGAGUUUACAGUCUGGUAGGGAAGAAAGAUGCUAAACUAGUAAUCACACAUCUAAUAAUUUCAGUCAUGAUAAGUGUUUAAAAAAAAAAAAGAGAGAGAGGUUCAACAUACUAACAUAGCAUUUAACAGGGACAACCUGAAUAUGGAAUAUAAAAUCUGUAAAGGAAAUGCUUUCCAGAUAAGCCCAUAUAAAAACGGAAACUUCAGGAAAGCAAAACACCACUACAAAUAAAAUUUAAAAGUAAAAAUGACAUACUGGAGAAAAUCAUCUCUAACAUAUAACGUAUAAAAGAGUUCUUACAAAUUAUUAAGAGAAAAUAAGUAGAGAAAUAGACUAGGACAGGAAAAUGUAAUGGGCAAAUACACAAACGGUCAGUAAACAUUUGAAAUAAAUGUUCACCCUCAAUCAAAGAAAUGUCAAAUAAAACAAUGAGGUACCCUCAGUCAGAGUGACAAAAAUUAAAAAGAGUAUUUAAGGUUAGAGAGAGGGUGGAGAGAAGGAUUUUGCUGGGGGUUAGUUGUGGAGGGAAUAUAAAUGGACACAGCCUUCCUGAAGGUAUUUAGUAAAAUGAACCGAAAGUCUUAAAAUGUACAUACUCUUUAAACUUGCAGGUCCCCUUCUAGGAAUUUCUUCUUCUUUUUUUUUUGCUGAGGAAGAUUUGCCCUGAGCUAACACCUGUGCCAAUUUUCCUCUAUUUUGUAGAUGGGCACUGCCACAGCAUGGCAGCUGAUGAGUGGUGUAGGUCCGUGCCUGGGAACCAAACAUGGGCCACUGAAGUGGAGUGCGCUGAACUUAAUCACUAAACCGUGGGGCUGGUCUUGGAAUUUCUUUAUUCUGAGGAAAUAAUUACACAAUAAGGCAAGACAGCCAGCCCUGGUGGUCUAGUGGUUAAGAUUUGGCACUUUUGCUGCUGUGGCCUGGGUUCAUCUACUGGUCAGGGACCCAUACCACCUGCCUGUCGGAGUGGAGCACUGAGCAGAGCAUUGUCUGAUAGAGCACCAGAAGGUGAGAGGAUGGCGCAAAAAGACUGGGCAGGGUUCCGCUCUGCUGUCCGUAGGGGCGCUAGGGGUGGGAAUCUACUUGAUGGCACUAGCAGUUACAACAAAAUGCAAGGUCCUGCUAACCAAGCCUGGAAAUUUGGAAAUAAUCUAAAUGUGUGAAAGGUUACUAGUUAAAUUAACGUGGACCAUCGAAUGCAUCCAGUCAUUAAAAACUACAUCAAUCUAUAUUUAGUGAUAUAGAAGCCAACUCACAUUACAUAUAAAAAGCAGGUUAUAGAUCAGUUUGUUUCCUACAGUUGUUACAAAAAGACGGAAAAAUGUUAUAUUUAUAUAUUUAUCCAUAAAUAUACAUCUGCAAAGGAAAAAGCCCAGAAGCAUUAAAAAAUCUUCAUUAAGUCAGAAAAUAUAAAAUACUUAGCACAAUACACAUAACAACUGAAAGAAAUGUUAACUUAUUUUAAUAGAGUGUUAUAUCUGGAGCACAUGGUUGAGGAAGUUUUAAAUGAAUGCUUUCCCUUUUUUGGGCUGCUGUUGAUUUGAAUUUUAGCAACUUUUUAGUAAUGAUCACGUCUAAUUGUCCAAGUUAAAAAAUUUAGAAUACAUCUUUCUAAAAUAAAUACAACUGAGACAUUUCAUUUAGAUCCUUGGUAGUUCUUAAUAUCAGUUCUAUGUUAUCAUUCUCUACUUAGAUUUUACAGUGACACACACCCUUUUGAGAACUUACUUUUUAAACUUAGAAUUAACUAGAAAUAGCACUAUAGACAUGUUUCAUUAUGAAGGUCUAUACUUGCAUUUAGGACAGCAAAACAAAGAUUAGUAAAUGGCUUUUUUUUAAGGUUUUGAGGACUUGGUGGAAGAGUCUCAGAUAUCCUACCUAAACUUCCAAUUCAGUUCAAAAUAAAACUGACUAUGUUAUUCUGGUUUAUGAGGAUAUCUUCUCUAUUAACUUUAUCCUUUAGGAUUUGUCCAAAUACUCUGCAGACCCCCAAGUCCCCAAACAAAAAUGAUCUUAUGAUAUCCUGAUGCAUUUUAUACCACCCCUUUGCCAAACGUGCUAUGUCAGCUGUGCUCACACACCCUUUACCACAGUGUGUUCCCUACUACAUAAGAAAUCUCUCUGGGGAAAAGAACUAUUCUUAUAUACUUUUUGUAUUCAUAACAGAGCCUAGAACAUUUAAUAACUUUUACUCACUCAACAGAUUUUUAACAGGCUGGAAUGAGUGAACAAAUUUAAAAAGAAUAUUAAGAUAAGUCACUAAUGACUAUUUUCA